UGGGGAAUUUUGGACAAUGGGCGCAAGCCUGAUCCAGCCAUGCCGCGUGCGGGAAGAAGGCCUUCGGGUUGUAAACCGCUUUUGUCAGGGAAGAAAUCUUCUGAGUUAAUACCUCGGGAGGAUGACGGUACCUGAAGAAUAAGCACCGGCUAACUACGUGCCAGCAGCCGCGGUAAUACGUAGGGUGCAAGCGUUAAUCGGAAUUACUGGGCGUAAAGCGUGCGCAGGCGGUUUUGUAAGACAGAGGUGAAAUCCCCGGGCUCAACCUGAGAACUGCCUUUGUGACUGCAAGGCUUGAGUGCGGCAGAGGGGGAUGGAAUUCCGCGUGUAGCAGUGAAAUGCGUAGAUAUGCGGAGGAACACCGAUGGCGAAGGCAAUCCCCUGGGCCUGCACUGACGCUCAUGCACGAAAGCGUGGGGAGCAAACAGGAUUAGAUACCCUGGUAGUCCACGCCCUAAACGAUGUCAACUGGUUGUUGGGAAGGUUCCUUCUCAGUAACGUAGCUAACGCGUGAAGUUGACCGCCUGGGGAGUACGGCCGCAAGGUUGAAACUCAAAUGAAUUGACGGGGUCAUAGCUGUUUU
rnacentral:rRNA from 1 species